rnacentral:rRNA from 3 species
AACCCUGAACGAGCAAUGCCGCGUGAGCGAAGAAGGAUUUCGGUCUGUAAAGCUCUGUUGUGAAGGAAGAACGCCUGGUACAGGAAAUGGUAUCAGGGUGACGGUACUUCACCAGAAAGCCACGGCUAACUACGUGCCAGCAGCCGCGGUAAUACGUAGGUGGCAAGCGUUAUCCGGAAUUAUUGGGCGUAAAGGGAGCGUAGGCGGUUUAAUAAGUCUGAAGUUAAAGGCAGUGGCUCAACCAUUGUAUGCUUUGGAAACUGUUAGACUAGAGUGCAGAAGAGGCAAGUGGAAUUCCAUGUGUAGCGGUAAAAUGCGUAGAUAUAUGGAGGAACACCAGUGGCGAAGGCGGCUUGCUGGUCUGCAACUGACGCUGAGGCUCGAAAGCGUGGGGAGCAAAUAGGAUUAGAUACCCUAGUAGUCCACGCCGUAAACGAUGAGAACUAAGUGUUGGAGGAAUUCAGUGCUGCAGUUAACGCAAUAAGUUCUCCGCCUGGGGAGUAUGCACGCAAGUGUGAAACUCAAAGGAAUUGACGGGGGCCCGCACAAGCGGUGGAGUAUGUGGUUUAAUUCGAAGCAACGCGAAGAACCUUACCAGGCCUUGACAUCCCAAGCAAAGAUAUGGAGACAUAUUGGAGGUUAUCUUGGUGACAGGUGGUGCAUGGUUGUCGUCAGCUCGUGUCGUGAGAUGUUGGGUUAAGUCCCGCAACGAGCGCAACCCUUGUCUUUAGUUACUAACAUUAAGUUGAGGACUCUAGAGAGACUGCCGGUGACAAACCGGAGGAAGGUGGGGAUGACGUCAAAUCAUCAUGCCCCUUAUGGCCUGGGCUACACACGUACUACAAUGGCAGUUACAAAGAGCAGCGAACUCGCGAGAGCAAGCAAAUCUCAUAAAGGCUGUCUCAGUUCGGAUUGGAGUCUGCAACUCGACUCCAUGAAGUCGGAAUCGCUAGUAAUCGUAGAUCAGCAUGCUACGGUGAAUACGUUCUCGGGCCUUGUACACACCGCCCGUCAAACCAUGGGAGUUGGUAAUACCCGAAGCCGGUGGCAUAACCUGUUUACAGGAGUGAGCCGUCGAAGGUAGGAUCGAUGACUAGGGUUAAGUCGUAACAAGGUAUCCCUACGGGAACGUGGGGAUGGAUCACCUCCUUU